rnacentral:lncRNA from 1 species
GGCGGAUGCCCCUCUCUCAGCCAGACUGCCACCUCGCAGUUCGAUCUUGGCCUGCUGCUCUAGCAGUGAGCAAGGCUCAUCCACGGAUUUAUUUCUGGGACUGCAGUGACCAGCAAAUGUAUCUACUUGCCAGAUGUCAAGCUGGAACUCAGAGAAUACACCAUCUUUUGAGAAGAAGGAGCCCUGUGCUGUGACAGAGUAUCGAGAGAAAUUCAGAGAACCUCAGGAGGAAGUGCGAGAGCAAAUGAGGCAAGAACUGGAGUGCUCAAGGGCUGGAAUCAGCUGGCAUCUUUGGCACCCACAGAAACAAACUCCAUUCACUUGGACCCGCUGUGUUUCACCCUUCACGGGAGGAAGCACACAGGUGUGUUAGAAAUGGGGUCUGAAGUACGGCUGCUAACAACUCCCAUGAGCAGAGUGAACAAGCAAGAGACCUGCUGGACCCACUGUGUCCUUUGAACUCUCAGAGCAGUUGGGAAUUGUGAGUCAUUGAGAGUAAUACUGUGAAGUUCAGGAUAGAGAAGAGAUCAAUUAUAAAUCCCCAAAUGAGGUUCCUUCCUGCGUCUAUGGUUGUCUUCGGGUGGGCUAAGCAUUUCUGCUGUUCUUGGUAAGCAUUUUAUUCCUCUUGUGCAAAUAUAAAAAGGAAAGAAUCUUCUGUGCCCUGAGUCCAAAUGAAAAUCUCAAGCAACAAAAAAGCGAAGUGAUUGGGAAAAUAAAAUCAUUUUGGACUGAUCCCAACAGCAUUUCAGUUUCAUUAGUGUUCUAUUAAUUUAAUACUAUAACCAGAUUUCAAGUUCUGACAAAGUUCUGUAUUGCAGAUCUCAGUAUUAGGUUAAUGUAUGAAUUGUACUGCACUACACAUAAAAAUGAUGUAAAUGUGAAUGUAUAAGAAUAGCCUGACAAUUUGAAAAGUCUUUGUAAUAUUUUCAGAAAAUAUCCUAGAUAGGCUAUAAUUGAAUUAUUUGAUUUUUACAAAUUACUUUGUAUUAUGGAAACAAAUGGUAGUUUUCUCAAGCCUUAACACCAUUGAGGAUAUUUAUGUAUGUCUGUUUAACAAAUAGAAAAUGGUUUGUAAUUCACCCCAAUGAUUGAUAUGAAUUAGAUUUUAUGAGGUUUUCAGGCAUUAUAAGGAAUUAUAUAAUUAAAUAUGCUUGAAAAUUUUCUUUAUUCAAGUUAUAAGUAGGUUUUAUUUACAUAAUGUAAACAUAGUCAUAAAGAAUGAUAGUAUUAUUGGUACACGUUUAAUCCUCAUUAUCCCUCACUAUAUCCCUCAUUAUAAAGUAUGUACUGUGAUUAUUCCUAUUUUCUAGAUGAUGAAAUGGAGGAACUGAGAGGUUAAGUAACUUGCUUAAGGUUAUUCAGCCCAGUAGUUCAGAGACAUGAUUUAAUCUUUAGUCUGGCUCCAGAGUCUGUACCUCUAAUCGAUAUUAUGAAGUGUCAGUUUUUUGUUUACACCCUUUUAAUUCUGGUAUAUUUUGAUUUGGUUUCUUGCAUCUAUGGGACUUUUGGAUAAUGAUAACUUAUGCUUCUAUAUUUACAAAAAAUAAACAAACAUAAAACAUUACAA